rnacentral:misc_RNA from 1 species
AGAAUGAAUUCAUCUGCAUGGUAUAAUCUUGGUUUGGUUCAUAAAGCCGAGGGUAGUGCAUCCUCCUUCCAAUACGCAGCUGAAUGUUUCAAGGCUGCAGCCUUUCUUGAAGAGUCAGCACCAGUUGAACCUUUCAGAUGACCAUCACUACUGAGAAGUUCUGUUACUGAUUCUUUGGUAUUUUUUAUUUUUCAAGAGUUUUGUAUUUAUGUUGUAGCCUAUAACUCAAUAGGG